UCCUGAAGCUACCUUCUCCACAUGAGUA
rnacentral:piRNA from 1 species